rnacentral:rRNA from 1 species
UACGUAGGGGGGCAAGCGUUGUCCGGAUUUAUUGGGCGUAAAGAGCGUGUAGGCGGCCUUACAGGUCAGCUGUGAAAACUCGAGGCUCAACCUCGAGACGUCGGUUGAAACCGUAAGGCUAGAGUCCGGAAGAGGAGAGUGGAAUUCCCGGUGUAGCGGUGAAAUGCGCAGAUAUCGGGAAGAACACCCGUGGCGAAGGCGGCUCUCUGGAACGGUACUGGACGCUGAGA